CGGAGUGGGCGAGGAAAGGAGAGGAGGGCUUGCAGAUGAGUCGUGUGUGACGUUGUGGGGGCGGGUGAAGAGAUGGGUAAUUGUGACCGCAAGCUGCUUUAGAGGGCUGGGUAAGGUCAGGUGCCGAUUGGGGUGCAGAGGAAGGAGGUCAGCUGGUAGCUCAGCUGUGGGGCUCUGGAUUGUGACAAGGAAAAAUGGGCUGGCUCAAGUUUUAUGGAGCGUGACCAAAUAACAGCCUUUGAAGACUGAUCAGCAGUGUACCAGAAAUCACUGCAUGAGAUACAUCUGUCAGAGACUCCUGAAGACCAUUCCACAUUCUGAAGCUGUAGACAUCAUACAGUGUGGACAGAAUCAGGCCUGAAUGUAGCCCCAGACCCUUUGCGCCUGCCUUUGAAUGAACUCACACUCAUGGUACAUCAGAGUGAAGGAGAAGAAAGAAUCUUUUGCUGUUGCUGUAUUCAUUCAGUUGUCAUGUUACCUUGAAAAAUAAAAGGUUUCAUCUCAGUAUU